CACUGGGCCUGGCUUGAGUACUUGAAACCUCAACGCUCACCUCCCAGGGACUUGCUUCCUCCAACAAGGCCGCAUCUCCUAAUAGUGCUCCUCUCUUCGAGUCUAUGGAGGCCAUUUUCAUUCAAACCACCAUACUACGUAUGGAAGGUUAUUGUGUGGAUUUGGGCUUCUCUGUGUAUUUCCCAGGCCUUCAGGAUCAUUAAACCCUCCACCGAGACAGAGACAGCGUCCUGGAAGGGGCCUCCAUGAGGACUUCUGGAAGCAGGGCUGUGGUAUGAUACAGCAGAAAGGGCAGAGAUGGUGCUGCCGUACCUGUGAGUUCUGCUGCUUCAGGCAGAGCCCCACGGCCUUUGUUGCAGCUGCAGCAGCCAGGGCGAGGUCGCUCAGAGACUAGGAGACCAUGGAUACAUUUGGACAGAAGUCAUAGCUGUUGAGAAACGUGCCGCUGUGCACGCUCUCCUUUGAGCUUGUGGGAGUCCUAGACGAUGCGUUUUAUCUUCAUUUCUCAGUUGAAGAGCUUGAGCCUCAUGAGAUGCUGAACCUGAGGGGGUGACCUACGUUCCAUUCCUGCACCUCCAGAGCUGCUGGUCUCUUCCCUUCUCUUCAUGCCUCACAGCGCCCAGCCAAAUGAUUUGCCAGUGAAUUAAGCCUUGCCCAAUCAAGUUCACAGUUCCUUUAUCGAACGCAAUAAUUCGAGACACACAUAUUAAGUAUCUCCCAUUGUUGGAGCUAUUAUGAGUGAAGCAGGUUCUUUCCCUGUCCCCAUAUCAUUUAGGUGUAGCCGAGCAAACAAGACGUGGUGCGUUGGGACAUGACAGAGACAGCAUCGAGCUGGGGAAGUGGGCGCCGGGGGGCCCUGAACUAAAACUGCAGGGCAGCAAAGCCUUCCUGAAGGAAAUAAAGUUUAAGCAGAGGUCCGAAGUGUGGAAGGGCAGCAGACGGAGGAGGGAAGAGUACAGAGGCCAAGGGGAUUGUGUGCGAAGGGAAAUGUAGGGAGUGAUAAGGAGGAACUCUUCGAGAAGCCCCAUGUACCCUCCAGGGAGAUGGAAUAGAUACAUGCACACUGUGAAGCUGUUUAUGAAUUGCAUUCUUGUGAUUAUCAACCUCAGGAGGAUGCCAUGAAAUUCACCAGUCUGGAUUCCCAGAACAGGAAGGAAGUUACCCUGGUGUUGGAAGAAAUCCCACUGAGGCUGGGGGCGUGGCUCACUGGCAGAGGGCUUUCCUAGCAUGUGAAAGGUCAUUGGUCUGUAUCAGGACACAGACACAGACACACACACACACACACGCACGCACACACAUGUACCCCACAACCCAAUGCACAUUUGAGGGUUAUCCUUCAUAGAAACUGCUGUUGAAAGCUCCUGAAUGCUGCAGCAUUAGGACUUCCCUCUGGAAUGCAUCCCUGUUCCUGGGGCAAUGGAUGUUCUUGUGAAAAUUAGAAGCCAUUUUUUUUCCUGCAUUUACUACAAAUAGCUCAACUCAUCAUUAUCCCAGAGGGGGAAAAUGUCUGGUGCUAUGUCUUCUGAGACUAGAAGGGCCCAGAGCUGCUGGGCCCCAGAGAACCAGAGUGGGUGUAGGAUGUGAUGGAAAACAGCACUGCCUGGGUGCUGCCUGGCCUCUUUGCUCAUCCUGCCGAUAGAGCCUCAGAUUUGCUUCAUGACCUCUGAAAGAUGGCUCACUCCCUCAUCUGAAAGGUUGGUUUCAGCUCUGCCACAGGAGUCCAAAUGGGAAUAAAAACACUCAAGGCUGAAGGUUUACACUGUGCGUUAGGCUUUCUGCUAAGGAAUUUUGCUAUGUGUCUCGUUAAAUCUUCCCAGCAGCUCUGUGUGGUUCAUGGUCUUGUUGUCCCGUUUAAUAGAUGAGGCCUGGGCCAGAGAGCUGUACUCUAGGUAGCUAGCAAGUGAAGCACUAGAAUGAUCCAUAGCCCGCAAGAGCAACGGUAGAACGUGUUUUUGUUUCUGCAGCUCACACUGCUUAUGCACUGUCUUCGCUUACAAUGUGUGAUUGCAUGAAUGAGAAAUGUCCCUUAUGGGCUCAUGUAUUUAAAUGCUUGUCCCCAGUUGCUGGCCCUCUUUGGAGGAUGUUAUGGAACUUCUAGGUCAGGAGCCUUGCUGGAAGAAGAAUGUCACUGGGGAUGGGCUUUGAGACUUUACAGCCUUGUUCCCACCUUUAGUUGGUCUCUCUAUUUCCCGUGUAUAGUUGAGAUGCCAUCUUUUGGCUUCCUCCUUCUGCCCCCAUGCCUUUCUAGACAUUGUG
rnacentral:sRNA from 1 species